rnacentral:misc_RNA from 1 species
AACGCACCUUGCGCUCCUUGGUAUUCCGAGGAGCAUGCCUGUUUGAGUGUCAUUAAUAUAUAAAUCAACCUUCUCUUGAUGAGUGGUUUGGAUGUGGGGGUUUGCUGGCAGCCUCUUUGAGGAUUCAGCUCCCCUGAAAUGCAUUAGCAGAACAAACCCGUUCAUUGGUGUGAUAACUAUCUACGCUAUUGAAUGUGAGGUGACAGUUCAGCUUUCUAACAGUCUUUGGACAAAUUCAUCAUUAAUGUGACCUCAAAUCAGGUAGGACUACCCGCUGAACUUAA